rnacentral:rRNA from 1 species
GGAAUUGUUCGCAAUGGGCGCAAGCCUGACGACGCAACGCCGCGUGGAGGAUGAAGGUCUUCGGAUUGUAACCUCCUGUUGCCAGGGACGAAACGCUCCGACCUAACACGUUGGAGUCUGACGGUACCUUGUGAGGAAGCCCCGGCUACCUCUGUGCCCGCAGCCGCGGUAAUACAGAGGGGGCUAGCGUUGUUCGGAAUUACUGGGCGUAAAGGGCGCGUAGGCGGCCCGCUAAGUCGAACGUGAAAUCCCCGGGCUCAACCCGGGAACUGCGUCCGAUACUGGUGGGCUUGAAUCCGGGAGAGGGAUGUGGAAUUCCAGGUGUAGCGGUGAAAUGCGUAGAUAUCUGGAGGAACACCGGUGGCGAAGGCGGCAUCCUGGACCGGUAUUGACGCUGAGGCGCGAAAGCCAGGGGAGCAA